rnacentral:lncRNA from 1 species
GUGUUCAUCAAGCUCCAUGUCCCCUCCAGUUUACCUCAGCAUGUCUGAUGCACACUGUCCUUUUCUAUGUGUGCCUGCUUCUAGCUUUAGGGAUCUAGAUUCAAACUCUACCUCAUCUCAAGUUUGUAGGCAAUUCAGUAGCAGUCAACACCCAGGUGUGGUUGGACGUGCCAGAACUGUCGUAGUGUUUUAUCAUUCGCACAGUUGCAUGGGAAAAUCUGAUCAAAAUUUCCAUUGCUAGUACUUAACACGGAUAUCGCUCUACUUGGCAGAAGGCAAAUGCAUUGCUAGAGCAGUCAUAAGGAGCUAGUUUGGAUGCUUCCAAAAAUGUCCUGUUGACUGAAAAUGAUGUUAUUUUUAUAUAUGUAUAAUAUACAUAAAUUUGUUUACAUAUAUAUAAUGUAUACACACACACAUAGAUUUUAAAAACAUGGAGUACCCGAUUUGAGUGUCAACCCUAUUUGAAUCCCAGGAAAGCAAUGAUAAGUUCCGGUUGUGCUGUACAGUAGUCCAGUGGGCUAAAUAAUUCCAAAUCUUCCCACGUGAAGAAAUAAUGAGACUGCGUCGGUAGCACUAUUUCAAAAUAUAGUGAUGAGAGAUAGGAGUCAACCACAAGGCCAUGCGUGCCCCAGGUGUGAAGGUGAGUGAAAUCUCAUUGUGUCAGAGAGCAAUGACCAAGGAAAGAUAACCUGGCACCAAUAAUAACUUCUAUUUUUCACAUGUGUACUCAGGUACAAUGGACCAUAUUGCUGAAUGGAAUAAGGCUUUUCAUCUUACUGAGAAAAAGUAUUAACUUGCAAGCCUCACUCAUUGUACUGGCUCUGUCAUUGGAGAAUUAAGUUUAUUGCAUAUUAAAAAUAGAAAAUCAAUUUCAGUAUUAUAUUUGUUUCUGAAUGUUAAUUGGCAGUUUUAAAUUUUAUUAAAACUAAGGCUGGGUGUAGUGGUGCCUAUAUAAAUAGGUGGUGCCUAUUUAAUACCAGCUUAUAAUACUAGCAGCUCUGGAGGCUGAGACAGUAGGAUCGAGAGUUCAAAGCCAGCCUCAGCAACUUAGUGAAGCCCUAAGCAACUCAGUGAGACCCUGCCUCUAAAUAAAAUACAAAAAAGGGCUGGGAAUGUGGCUCAGUGUUUAAGUGCCCCUGAGUUCAAUCACAGGUACCAAAACAAAACAAAAACUAAGUUAAAAUUAACUUAAAAUUUUAUAGUGUAAUUUUUAAGUUAUAAAGCUCAUUGCCAAUGAAUGAUGAUGUCCUUUAUGGGGAGAUGAAGUUAAGAGACUUGUCCUGGUAUGAACUCGGCCAUUUAGCUUUCCUGUAUUUAAUAUGCAAAGAAACUGAGGCACAAUGAAAAAUCUUAGAUGUCUGCAAAAUUUUUAGGGCUGCCAAAGACAAAGGAAUAUACAAAUUGAUAGCCUUUGAUGUCUGGCUGUUCAACUAAAUGAACUUGAGAAUCUAAAUCAUAUUAAUAUGAACUGAAUGAUACUCUUAUAGGCCAAACAAAAUUUUAUAUUUUGACUUAUUCUCCUCCAUUUGGAAAUUCGGCCAUGCCCCCAAAUAAUCGAAUGGUACUAAAAAUGUUUUUGUAUCAUCUCCUUAAGCUGUCAGCAUGCUAAGAGCUAAUAUGAUGGAUUAUUUUUUCAUUUUCAUAAUUGGUUGUUU